UGGCCAGAGAGUGGCUGUGCAAACAGUUGACAGUUCAAUAAAAACGACAUUUUAUGGGGACAGGGAUCCUGCCCCUGUUUCUUCCCUGACAGAAGCUGCAGUUUAUAAAAGCAAGCCCUUAUGAAGAACGAUGUGUCAUUGUGAGUGUGGUGUUAGGAAACAGGUGCCUAAGUGAAGAGCAAGACAGGAAACAAAAGGCUGAGUGUGGAAAUGGAAAGGGGCAAAAUCCUGGAAAUGGAAGGGGAAAAAAAUCCCUCUAGGAGGUGGAUUUCACUCAGGAGACCUCUAAGUGAAAUCUAAGGGUGUCCUCUGCAAAGAUGGAACCAUUAACAUUUGGGUGGGAGAGGAGAUUAAAUUAUGUUGUUACGAUGCUGUCUUCUUCUGAUGCUCAGCUUCUCUGUCUCACUUUUGUUGUUUUUUUAUAAUUAAAUUUUGGCUGUGCUGGGUCUUUGUUGCUGAGCAUAGACUUUGUCUCCUCUUCAUUGCGGUGCCGGGGCUUCUGAUUCCGGGGCCUCCUCUAAUUGCAGAGCAUGCUCCCUAGAGCACAGGCUCAGUAGUUCUGGAAAACGGGCUUCAUUGCUGCGGGGCUUGUGGAAUCUUCCCAGACCAGAGAUCAAAUCCACGACCCCUGUAUCGGCAGGCAGAUUCUUUACCACUGGAGCUCCAGGGAGCCACUCCUUUUCCUGGUCUUUCUAGAUCCUCAGGGGACUCAGAGGCCUGUGUGAGAAAGGAAAAACAAAAUAAAAACCCAGUGAAAAUAAAAAACCAGGGAAAUGGCUACCUACUCCAGUAUUCUUGCCUGGAGAGUCCCACGGACAGAAGAGCCUGAUGGGCUACAGUCUGUGGGGUCGCAAAAGAGUCAAACAAAACUGAGCGACUAAACAACACCAGCAACAACCUUAUGGGCCUCUUUGCCCCCCUUCCUUCUUCCUCCAGGCACAUUGCUUCAGUACGCACACAACUCCAGAGGGCGCCAUUCACACAGCCACAGUGUGAAUCACAGCACACAACCCAUGCAAAGGUAGUGAUGGCUCCAUUGUACCUUUCCUUCCUUCCUCCCUCUCUCCCUUCCUUCAAUAAAUAUUUGUUGAGCAUCUAGGCUCCAUCAUGUUAGUGGUGGAGACACAGUAGCAGAUGACCAGAACAUGCCUCUGUCCAUGGAGCAAAUUUUAAAACUGCAAAACAGGGGCUUCCCUGGUGGCUCAGUGGUAAAUCCGCCCUGUCAAUGCAGGAGAUGUGGGUUCGAUCCCUGAUCCGGGAAGAUUCCACCUGCCUCAAAGCAACUAAGCCUGUGUGCCGCAACUACUGAGCUCUAGAGACUGGGAACUGCAAUUAUUGAGCCCACGGGCCCUAACUGCUGAACCUGUGCACCCUAGCACCCAUUCUCCGCAGCAAGAGAAGCCACCGCAAUGAGAAGCCCGUGCACCGCAAUGAAGAGUAGCCCCUGCUCUCCGCAACUAGAGAAAAGCCUGCGCACCCGUGAACAAAAAAUAUAAAUAAGCAAAAUUAAUUUUAAAAAUUCUUAAAAAAAUAAACUUGCACACGCAAAGAAAAAUAAAAUGUAAAAGGAUGCUGAAAUAAACAUGUGAUUGCAACUUUCAUAUUCA